AAAUGACUCUCGACAACGGAUAUCCCGGCUCUCGCAUCGAUGAAGAACGUAGCGAAAUGCGAUACUUGGUGUGAAUUGCAGAAUCCCGUGAACCAUCGAGUCUUUGAACGCAAGUUGCGCCCGAAGCCACUAGGCUGAGGGCACGUCUGCCUGGGUGUCACGC
rnacentral:rRNA from 5 species